rnacentral:rRNA from 1 species
UGGGGAAUAUUGCACAAUGGGCGCAAGCCUGAUGCAGCCAUGCCGCGUGUGUGAAGAAGGCCUUCGGGUUGUAAAGCACUUUCAGCGAGGAGGAAGGUGGUGAGCUUAAUACGCUCAUCAAUUGACGUUACUCGCAGAAGAAGCACCGGCUAACUCCGUGCCAGCAGCCGCGGUAAUACGGAGGGUGCAAGCGUUAAUCGGAAUUACUGGGCGUAAAGCGCACGCAGGCGGUUUGUUAAGUCAGAUGUGAAAUCCCCGGGCUCAACCUGGGAACUGCAUUUGAAACUGGCAAGCUAGAGUCUCGUAGAGGGGGGUAGAAUUCCAGGUGUAGCGGUGAAAUGCGUAGAGAUCUGGAGGAAUACCGGUGGCGAAGGCGGCCCCCUGGACGAAGACUGACGCUCAGGUGCGAAAGCGUGGGGAGCAAAACAGGAUUAGAUACCCUGGUAGUCCACGCUGUAAACGAUGUCGAUUUUGGAGGUUGUGCCCUUGAGGCGUGGCUUCCGGAGCUAACGCGUUAAAUCGACCGCC